rnacentral:lncRNA from 1 species
GAGGAUAUGAAAUGUAGUUGACGAAAGUACAAAAUAAAAGCGCGUAAUUUCGGAUAAUUCUAUUUGUACAAAGGCAAAUAGUAUGUAGGUUCUUAUAAUUUUUAAGAAGAAUGAGGUCAUACCGGUGAAGCAAUUUUUGAAAUGUAGACCUAAUUAUGAUGAGUACAAAGGGCUCAUUAGCAAUACAGACACCAAAUACAUUUGCCAACUAGGUGGGCCAUACUAGAUGGUCCAAGUCCAUCAGAUGAUCACUUGAUUUACUCAUAAUGUAAACCAUUAC